rnacentral:lncRNA from 13 species
AUGAAUUCUUCAUUCUUCAUUGAAACUCAAUGGAAAUCUCUGCUGACAGAAAUGCCUGAUCACCCGUGCAUAGCUUUCCCAGAAAUAGCCCUGUUAUGUUUUCCAAGCUGUUCUGGCUGUCUGAAGCCGACACACACAAAGUAUUGUCCCAUCCUCUGUGAUGCAAUCUGUCAACAGCUUCACAGGCAUCUGCUGGGGAUUUCUCUCUGUGUGUGUGUGUGUGUGUGUGUGUGUGAUAACAGACAACCACCCUGUGAUGUUAAAGGAUGGAGUCAGUUAAAGGUCUUCUCCUCCCAGAGAGAGUGUAAUAUACUGACUCUGAUGCGCCACAACAUUAGACCAGCCUGGUGGUUACUCAUUGCUGAGGGCCUCUCUUUUCGUCCUCACACCUAAUUAACUGAAGUUGUUAUUUAAGCGGAUAGUGACCUUCGUUAGAAGGGUGCGAUUAGGGACGGACAAUUCAAAACAAGAGUUCAGGUAGAGGCUAUUGUCGAGUAGACUGAGAAGACGGAGUGUUUCAGAGAUGGGCUUCAGCUCAUAAGAUGAGAGGAACAUGCCGCUUUAUAAGAAAUCAUACAUCACAUCUAUGGGCACAUCCAUCAAAUGCCAAACCAAAGGUAGACGUCUCACACUGCCCUGGCCAAUUUACUGAUCUAUCUCGAGAUAAAAGGAGGAAAGGGAGAAAAAUACAUAACUACCCCUACAGAUCUGAUGCCUACUCUUAUGAGCAGAGCUGUCAACAUAUCUCUUCAUGAAAGAAGCUCCCGUCUCCCUGUGAUUAUCUGUAUCGGAAACCAGGGCAAGAACGGUAACAUAGAACUGUAAUAUAGAACUAAAAUAUCAGUCAAAUAUCAAUCAAAUCAAGGAGUACGAAAGGCAGAUUUAAGACUUAAAUGGAAAUCCCCUUACUUCCGAAUAGAAUAUAGCCGUUUCAGAUAUAUUGUUAGCCAGACAUGAAGUCUUGCUGUCAAUGAGGUAUGUCUCGGGAAAGCUACUGCUCCAACUAUGGCAAAUCUCAAGAGACCCACUUUUCUUUCUCUUUGAAAUGCAAACUGUGGAGUCAGUCAGAUGGCUGCUUCUUGGGAAUGCAGCACUGUAGGCCCCCAUAGGCAGCGAUACAGUGACAUGGAGUAAUGCAAGGCAGCCUAUCAACAGCCACCUUAUAUCUAAGACUGGACCCGACCCUAUAGUAAUUACAUGGGCAGCAGUGGAGGCUGCUGAGGGGAGGACGGAUCAUAAUAAUGUUUAGAACGGAGCGAAUGGAAUGGCAUCAGACACAUAGAAACCAUGUGUUUAAUACCAUUCCACUGAUUCCGCUUCACCCAUUACCACUGGAUUGUCCUCCCCAAUUAAGGUGCCACCAACCUCCUGUGAUGGGCAUCUACACAUAAUGAGCAGCUGGAGUAAGGGGGAGGUAAAUUGGGGUGCUCAGUGUCUUGAAAUUAAAUGAGUGUGCUGCAGGUUUCAGUUAUAGAUCUGUCAUUUGGGAAGCAGUUCUACGUGCGCUAUUUCUAUGCUUCCCGUUCUUAAGAUUUGUUUUUGAGUCUUUUACUAUCAGUUUUGUUCACCAGCUUCAAACAACUUAAAAUACUAUAUUUUUGGUUAUGGAAAAGAUAUUUCAUACAGGUUUAGAUGGUACUCUCUCAGGUGAUUCUCUACAGUAUACUUGCUUGUUUUGUCACAUAAACUGAAAUUAUGAGAAGUUUUUCAACCAGGAAAUGGCGGAGGGAUUUCUGCAUAGUGCAUCACCACAGAAGCAUAGCAUGACAGUAUUUGGGACAUGCAAACAAAUCAGGGCCCCAAAGUAUGUGCUCUGUGGUUUAAGGAGUAGGUCAAAUGGUUGCAUAGUGAACUACAAAUCAGGGCCCUCAUCGCUCCCCCCACAUGGUACUGUGUGUAGGUGUAGAGUAAAUCAGACAUUUUGAAAUUCUUCCAAGCUUCUCUCCUCCACCAAUUGGAUGUUGCUGUGAAUAUUGUGAAGAUGUCAUUCUGCUUUCCUGCUGUUAAAUGGUGCGUGAAGGUCCUGAUGGAGGCUGAAUUAAUAAGCGCUCUCUUGCUUUGAUGAGUGUUAAAUUAAAAUGGCAUUGAUAAAGAUUCCCAGUAUGGUUCUAGCCUUUGUGUAUUCUCCUGAUAACAGAUAUAAUUGAAUGAUUGUUGGUAAGAAAUAAUUAACUUAAGGCCGCACACUCCACUUCCUGGUCUGUAUUUUCUGCGCAGGCACUGUUUCUGUAGGGGCCACCUCAAAUAUCUCUGGUCUCCUUAUCAAAUCUGUUAAAGACAAACAGAUGCUGGCAUUAUUGGCACAGACUCAUCAUUCAGUACCACCUUGCGAGUACACUAUAUGUUUUAACUGUGAGUCGCUUUGGAUAAGCAUGCCCUAAAUUACAAAUAAAUUACAAAUUCUGAAGAGGGUUUUGUAAGUUGGAAUCAGAGAGACACUUACUGUUUGAGGAUGGAGAGAGAGAGAGAGAGAGAGAGAGAGAGAGAGAGGACAGCAUCAGUAGUCUGUCCACAGCACCAGGACCUGUGCUCUGGCAUAAAUUGGAAAUGACAACUUGAUUCAUGGCGGUGAUAUAUUUUACCGUCCGACCGGGUGACAUUCUUGUCAUCUAAUAUCCGAGACUUGCUGCAGCGUUCCAGAGACGCGACGGGACGUUAAUGCUGGGUCCAAAAAGGACAUGGAGGAUUUUCGUCUGUCUUUGGUAGACUAAUGAAAUAGAGCGAAAAGCAGGCCUAGAAAAUGGAAGGGUAUCUUUAAAACCUGUCGAUACACUGAGAAGGAAGUACAGGAUGUUUUAUUACAUCAAUAGAGUAAAAGCCUCCAGCUAAACAUGUAGGUGACAGAGACCUUCAAAACCUUCUCUCUCAGCUUAGCUAUACUGUAUAUUCUGGAAGUUUGAACUCUCAUUAUCUGGUAUGCUAUGUUGGAUGUAAGCUAGUUGAGGUGAAAUAAGCCAUGGGCAAAUGAGAAUGGGGAACACUGAAACCACAAGAGGCUGGUUAGAGGAGGACAGGCUCAUAAUAAUGGCUGGAAUGGAGUGAAUGGAAUGGUACCGAACACAUGGAAACAACGUGUUUGAUGGGUUUGAUACCGUUCCAUUCAUUCGGUUCCAGUCAUUACUAUGAGCCCCUCCUCCCCAAUUAAGGUGCAACCGGCCGCCUGUGACUGAAACGUUCAGACUUCAAGACGACAAUCACGUUUCUGGCAUUGACCUAUAAAAGUUGGAGUUAGUUAGGGAGAGACAGAUUCCAACUCCAAUAUUCAUUUCUAUGAACAAUAGAACAGGACAAACAAUAACUGCUAAUUUGGAUAUAUUAUUUUACCCUUUAAAAGAAAGUGAAAAUCUGUGCUUAUAAUUCAAAACAGAUCAUUUGUUCUCAAGAGCCACUCCUGACAAAAUGAAAAAUACAGGCGAAACAUUUCAGGAAAUAAUUGCACUUAAGCUCAAUAUAUUCCAAUGUAAAACUAUAAUGUUUUUACACACACGCACACACACAUACACACACACACACACACACACACACACACACACACUUUUGCUUAGAUAAACAUCUGGAGGCCUGGGUGAAGGAGAAGUAGCAGCAACCAAAACAUAAACUCAGCAAAAAAAAAAAAAGUCCCUUAAUCAGGACCCUGUCUUUCAAAGAUAAUUAGUAAAAGUCCAAAUAAUUCCACAGAUCUUAAUUGAAAAGGGUUUAAACACUGUUUCCCAUACUUGAUCAAUGAACCAUAAACAAAUAAUGAACACGCACCUGUGGAACGGUCGUUAAGACACUAACAACUUACACACGGUAGGCAAUUAAGGUCACAGUUAUGAGAACUUGGGACACUAAAGAGGCCUUUCUACUGACUGAAAAACACUAAAAGAAAGAUGCCCAGGGUCCCUGUUCAUCUGCGUGAAUGUGCCUUAGGCAUGCUGCAAGGAGGCAUGAGGACUGCAGAUGUGGCCAGGGCAAUACAUAGCAAUGUCCGUGCUGUGAGACGCCUAAAACAGCGCUACAGGGAGACAGGACGGACAGCUGAUCGUCCUCGCAGUGGCAGACCACAUGUAACAACAACUGCACAGGAUCGGUACAUCACACCUGCGGGACAGGUACAGGAUAGCAACAACAACUGCCCGAGUUACACCAGGAACGCACAAUCCCUCAAUCAGUGCUCAGACUGUACGCAAUAGGCUGAGAGAGGCUGGACUGAGGGCUUGUAGGCCUGUUGUAAGGUAAGGUCGCCAACAGACAUCACCGGCAACAACGUCGCCUAUGGGAAAAAACCCACCGUCGCUGGACCAGACAGGACUGGCAAAAAGUGCUCUUCACUGACGAGUCGCAGUUUUGUCUCACCAGGGGUGAUGGUCGGAUUCGCAUUUAUCAUCUAAGGAAUGAGCGUUACACCGAGGCCUGUACUCUGGAGCGGGAUCGAUUUGGAGUUGGAGGGUCCAUCAUGGUCUGGGGUGUCACAGCAUCAUCGGACUGAGCUUGUUGUCAUUGCAGGCAAUCUCAACGCUGUGUGUUACAGGGAAGACAUCCUCCUCUCUCAUGUGGUACCCUUUCUGCAGGCUCAUCCUGACAUGACCCUCCAGCAUGACAAUGCCACCAGCCAUACUGCCACCAGCCAUACCGAAUAGCCCGGAUCAAAGCGUGUUGGAUCAGAGGGUGAAGGCUAGGGCCAUUCCCCCAGAAAUGUCUGGCAACUUGCAGGUGCCUUGAUGGAAGAAUGGGGUAAUUGCACAGCAAGAAAUUGCAAAUCUGGUGCAGUCCAUGAGGAGGAGAUGCACUGCAGUACUUAAUGCAGCUGGUGGCCACACCAGAUACUGACUGUUACUUUUGAUUUUGACCCCCC